rnacentral:rRNA from 1 species
GAUGAACGCUGGCGGCGUGCCUAAUACAUGCCAGUCGAGCGAACAGACGAGGAGCUGGCUCCUCUGACGUUAGCGGCGGAGGGGUGAGUAACAUGGGAAUAACCUACGUAGAAGGCGGGGAUAACGUCGGGAAACCGGAGCUAAUACAUGCUAAUAACGUGAACAGCAUGGUUCCAUAGUGAAAGCCGGUUUUGCUGUCACUUAUAGAUGGAUCCGCGCCGCAGUAGGUAGUUGGUAAGGUAACGGCUUACCAAGGCAACGAUGCGUAGCCGACCUGAGAGGGUGAUCGGCCACACUGGAACUGAGACACGGUCCAGACUCCUACGGGAGGCAGCAGUAGGGAAUCUUCCGCAAUGGGCGAAAGCCUGACGGAGCAACGCCGCGUGAGUGAUGAAGGUCUUCGGAUCGUAAAACUCUGUUAUUAGGGAAGAACAAAUGUGUAAGUAACUAUGCACGUCUUGACGGUACCUAAUCAGAAAGCCACGGCUAACUACGUG